GAGAGAAGUGACGUUGCACAGUGCCACGGAAGCAUGGCGCUGCUGUCUAGACAUUCCUGAAAGAAGCUCUGGGUCAGAAGCCCAGUCAUGCCUCCCCCCAUCCAUCAAUAAAUGCCCUCUCCUCUGUCCCCAGAUUACAUCCCUGUCCCGGUCCAUCACCUUGUUUGUCUCCAGCCCACUGCGUUAGUCCUGGUUCCUACAUCACCACCACCUCAUGCGUCCACUCCAGAUCUGUCACUCAGCGGUCAGCACGGCCUUUCAGGCCAAAUGACACAGCCACAGGAAGGGAAGGAAGCUCCAAUCUGCCAGCCCCGUGUCCCAGGGCCAUGGAAUUCACAGCAAAAGCAGUGUCCCUGUGUGCAUGGACCCAGGUCACCGCCAUAGCCUCAGCCCCUCCUUGCUGCAAGCUGCUGAGAGUACACAGAACUCCAGAAACUGGUCCUGGCCUUUGAGAGAACUCUACAUGCAUCCUGGGCCUGGGUCCCUCUCCUCUCCCUUGCGAUGGGCUCAGCUCUCUGUCCAUGCUGCGUCUCCAUCCCUACAUCUUAGAAAAAGAGGAGAGUGGCCCUUGUAUUGCAGAGGUAGACCAGGUGAGAUUGGAUACCCGUGAGACUGUGUGUGCCGUGGACUGUUCUAUUCUGUAAGGAGGUGUGCAAAUGUGCAUGGUCACACUAGCCAGGGUCCAGAGAGUAGAUCUUUAGUUAAGAACUCUGUAAGGUUAGGUGGAACCUUAGGGUUCAUCCGGUUCAAACUAAGCCACUGAAAGAGUUCUUUCUCUAGGGUUUCCAGCAGGUGGUCUCCCUGCCUUUGUUACCUGCAGCCCCAGGGAGAUUGCUCCUCCAAAGCUUCUUUAUUCUAGCCACACAUGGGUCCGAGUGCUAAAGUGCAUUCAAAGCUCAUUGCAGUGGCACACACCUGUAAUCCCAGCACUUGGGAAACUGAGGCAGGAGGAUUACAAUGAGUUUGAGGCGAGCCUGGGCUACACAGUAGGUUUAAGGCCAGCCUGAACUGAAUGGCAAGACCCUGUCUCAAAAAACCCAAAUGAGUGAGUGAGUGACUGACUGAAUGAACGAAUGAGUUCACUUACAUGAAACCUGGCUCCAGGUAGUUUUCAAGUUCUCAUUUUGCCCCUCGGGCCGUACUGUCCCCUAUGCUGUCCACUCUGCAUCUGGCUGUUGAGCACCUGAAAUGUGGCUGGUCCAAAUUGCCAUGUGCU
rnacentral:lncRNA from 1 species